CAAGAUGUAGCUUAACUAAAGCCUUUCGCUUACACCGAAAAAAUGUCUAUUAAACCUAGAUUAUCUUGA
rnacentral:tRNA from 1 species